UACGAAGGGUGCAAGCGUUAAUCGGAAUUACUGGGCGUAAAGGGCGCGUAGGCGGCUUUUCAAGCGUGCGGUGAAAGCUCGGGGCUUAACUCCGAGUCUGCCGUGCGAACUGGGAGGCUUGAGUCUGGUAGAGGUCGAUGGAAUUCCGGGUGUAGCGGUGGAAUGCGUAGAGAUCCGGAAGAACACCGGUGGCGAAGGCGGUCGACUGGGCCAGUACUGACGCUGAAGCACGAAAGCGUGGGGAGCAAACAGG
rnacentral:rRNA from 1 species